CCUACGGGGUGCAGCAGUGGGGAAUAUUGGACAAUGGGCGAAAGCCUGAUCCAGCCAUGCCGCGUGUGUGAAGAAGGCCUUCGGGUUGUAAAGCACUUUCAGUGGGGAAGAAAGCCUUGGGGCUAAUACCCUCGAGGAAGGACAUCACCCACAGAAGAAGCACCGGCUAACUCCGUGCCAGCAGCCGCGGUAAUACGGAGGGUGCGAGCGUUAAUCGGAAUUACUGGGCGUAAAGCGCGCGUAGGCGGUCUGAUAAGCCGGUUGUGAAAGCCUCGGGCUCAACCUGGGAACGGCAUCCGGAACCGUCAGGCUAGAGUGCAGGAGAGGAAGGUAGAAUUCCCGGUGUAGCGGUGAAAUGCGUAGAGAUCGGGAGGAAUACCAGUGGCGAAGGCGGCCUUCUGGACUGACACUGACGCUGAGGUGCGAAAGCGUGGGUAGCAAACAGGAUUAGAUACCCUGGUAGUC
rnacentral:rRNA from 1 species